UACGUAGGGUGCGAGCGUUAAUCGGAAUUACUGGGCGUAAAGCGUGCGCAGGCGGUGAUGUAAGACAGAUGUGAAAUCCCCGGGCUCAACCUGGGACCUGCAUUUGUGACUGCAUCGCUAGAGUACGGCAGAGGGGGGUGGAAUUCCAGGUGUAGCAGUGAAAUGCGUAGAGAUCUGGAGGAACACCGAUGGCGAAGGCAGCCCCCUGGGUUAGCACUGACGCUCAUACACGAAAGCGUGGGGAGCAAACAGG
rnacentral:rRNA from 1 species